rnacentral:rRNA from 1 species
CCGGAGUGGAAAAAGGCACCGGGUAACUACGAGCCAGCAGCCGCGGUAAAACGUAUGGCGCAAGCGUUAAUCGGAAUUACUGGGCGUAAAGCGUGCGCAGGCGAAAAUGUAAGACAGUUGUGAAAUCCCCGGGCUCAACCUGGGAACUGCAUCUGUGACUGCAUUGCUGGAAACGGCAGAGGGGGAUGGAAUUCCGCGUGUAGCAGUGAAAUGCGUAGAUAUGCGGAGGAACACCGAUGGCGAAGGCAAUCCCCUGGGCCUGUACUGACGCUCAUGCACGAAAGCGUGGGGAGCAAACAGGAUUAGAUACCCUGGUAGUCCACGCCCUAAACGAUGUCAACUGGUUGUUGGGUCUUCACUGACUCAGUAACGAAGCUAACGCGUGAAGUUGACCGCCUGGGGAGUAC